AUGCGUUCGGAUGGGGCACUGCAGACACUCCAGUCACUCUGGGUGACGGGAUGUUCCUUUCUUCCCCUGCUCUGUCUAGCAGAAAGCAAAACACAGCGUGCUCCCAGCCAAAGGCUCAGAAACAAGCGUCAGGGCCAAAGCACCGCUCUCUGCCACCUCGACUCUGAACAACAAAAAAAAGCCGGAGCAGGUUGUUUUGGCCCUGAAACGCUGCACUUGGGAGGUGACGAAUGCCGGAUCCAGACGGAUGGUGGCUGCUUUGCAGAGUCCAAAAUCAGCUCCCAGAGCCCGGCCCGGCGCUGUGCUGCCGCCGAGCACACGCGUCCCCGGGAGCCGGCGGGCACCGACAGCGGUCCGAGACCGACGCGUCCCGAGCCGCUGCCCGCCGCCAAGGAGAAGGGCAGGUGCCGGUGCCGGUGCCAGCUCCCUUCUGGCCGCUCCUCGGGACCCGCCGGUACCGGCGACAGCCGCGGCAGGGUUGCCUCACGCGUGAUUGGUGCCUGGAGGCUCCUGCCGGGUACCGGCACCUCCCGGGAGCGGCGCCAGCCUCAGCGCUCCUCGGGUAGCCCCGCCGGGUCGGUGCCUUCCAGGACCGGCACCAGCCGCCGGAGACUCCUCCCGAGCGGGCACCUCUCGGCACCGGCACCGGUCCCGGCAGAUCGGCGCUCCCCGGAGCAGGCACCCGGCUCCCCCGCGCACCGCUCGGAGUCUUCGACCGGGGUCGCCACCUCCCGGUCCCGGCGCCAGCCGCUCCGGUGCCGCCUCACGCCCGCUCAGCCCCCAGACAUUCCUUACCGGCUCGGAACCUCCCGGGCGCGCCCGGGUCCCGCCGGUGCCCGUAGGCGCGCUCCCACACCCGCGCACCCACCGCUAUCGGAGCCGGGCACCGGCGGCUCGGGAGCGCCUCGGGGCCAGCGCCGACGCCGGGGCUGCCGCGAGCGCGGCCCCUUUAAAGCGACGCAGCGGAGGCCCCGCGCCGCUCCACGGGACAACCGCAGUCCUGCAACGUCACCGCCCGCACAGCCAAUCGCGGCCACGCCGGCGCACACCAAAGGAGGCGGUGCCCGCCACAGCCCCGCCCNNNNNNNNNNNNNNNNNNNNNNNNNNNNNNNNNNNNNNNNNNNNNNNNNNCCCCGCGGGCCGGGCUUCGGCCCCCCCCGCGCUCCCCGGCACAGCGCCGCCUGUCCCGGGGCGCGGCCGGCCGCAGGACCGCAGGGAGCACGGCGGCCACGUCCUCGACCCGAGCCGCCCCCUGCUCCCGGGCGGCGCGGUCCCUGGGGGUUCGCAGCCCGCGCCGUGGCUCCAACCGACCAGAGCACUAGCGCAGCCCAACUAGAUCUCUCCUCAUGGACUUCGCUCCCAGUUGAUAAAGGGGGGAGACCACCUCUACGUCUUUACGGCACAUGGACAAGGAACCUUCAAUUGCAGCGCGUCACCUCAUGCCAUCUUCUCAACACAGAGGCAGAGUGGAUGGAUUACUGUAAACAACGAAAAUGUCUAAAAGGAAUAAAUGAAAAUCUGAGAGUGUGUAACAGAAUACAGUUGUCUUCCAGUAAUAACAAAAAAAAUCUUAAAUUUUCAGACAACAUUACAGCCAAGUGUUUUCCUAUGAACUAA
rnacentral:lncRNA from 1 species